rnacentral:rRNA from 1 species
AGUCUGAACCAGCCAAGUCGCGUGAGGGAAGACUGCCCUAUGGGUUGUAAACCUCUUUUAUAAGGGAAGAAUAAGUUCUACGUGUAGAAUGAUGCCUGUACCUUAUGAAUAAGCAUCGGCUAACUCCGUGCCAGCAGCCGCGGUAAUACGGAGGAUGCGAGCGUUAUCCGGAUUUAUUGGGUUUAAAGGGUGCGUAGGCGGUUUAUUAAGUUAGUGGUUAAAUAUUUGAGCUAAACUCAAUUGUGCCAUUAAUACUGGUAAACUGGAGUACAGACGAGGUAGGCGGAAUAAGUUAAGUAGCGGUGAAAUGCAUAGAUAUAACUUAGAACUCCGAUAGCGAAGGCAGCUUACCAGACUGUAACUGACGCUGAUGCACGAGAGCGUGGGUAGCGAACAGGAUUAGAUACCCUGGUAGUCCACGCCGUAAACGAUGCUCACUGGUUCUGUGCGAUAUAUUGUACGGGAUUAAGCGAAAGUAUUAAGUGAGCCACCUGGGGAGUACGUCGGCAACGAUGAAACUCAAAGGAAUUGACGGGGGCCCGCACAAGCGGAGGAACAUGUGGUUUAAUUCGAUGAUACGCGAGGAACCUUACCUGGGUUUAAAUGGGAAAUGCCGUAUUUGGAAACAGAUAUUCUCUUCGGAGCGUUUUUCAAGGUGCUGCAUGGUUGUCGUCAGCUCGUGCCGUGAGGUGUCGGGUUAAGUCCCAUAACGAGCGCAACCCUUACCGUUAGUUGCUAGCAUGUAAUGAUGAGCACUCUAACGGGACUGCCACCGUAAGGUGAGAGGAAGGCGGGGAUGACGUCAAAUCAGCACGGCCCUUACACCCAGGGCUACACACGUGUUACAAUGGCCGGUACAGAGGGCCGCUACCAGGUGACUGGAUGCCAAUCUCAAAAGCCGGUCGUAGUUCGGAUUGGAGUCUGUAACCCGACUCCAUGAAGUUGGAUUCGCUAGUAAUCGCGCAUCAGCCAUGGCGCGGUGAAUACGUUCCCGGGCCUUGUACACACCGCCCGUCAAGCCAUGGAAGCCGGGGGUGCCUGAAGUCCGUAACCGCGAGGAUCGGCCUAGGGCAAAACUGGUAACUGGGGCUAAGUCGUAACAAGGUAGCCGUACCGGAAGGUGCGGCUG